CUCAAUUUAGCACCAACCAGAAAAAAAAUGAAGAGAGCAUAUUUAUACGCAUUUUGUACUCCACUACUCUAUGCUGGUCUACUCUACAGUACACAUGACCAUUUUUUCUUGCUUUUAAUUACACUAUGAGUUGAUUCUGUGGAAAUGGAACCCUACGAAGUUCCUAUGCAACCCCUCCGCACUACAAGGCACAAGUGUUCUGCUUGUUUCAAGCAGUACAAGAAGACGGAGCAUCUCAUCGAACAUAUUAAAAGCUCUUAUCAUUCAGUUCAUGACCCUAAAUGUGGUGUGUGUAACAAGCAUUGCAAGUCAUUUGAAUCACUAAGGGAGCAUGUUGCUGGUCGUUUGUCCAAAGUGAAUUGCGCAAGCAUCUUUGCAGAAAGAGGUUGCAUUUUGUGUCUGAAAACCUGCAGCAGCGUGGACUCUCUCAACGAGCAUAAGGAAAUGUGUCUUCUAAGCACUCCUCGACCCAUUGACACAAUAGAGAUGCUUUUUCCAGAAGACCAAAUGGAUAUGCUCUAUUCAGAAUCCGAAAUGGACAUAAGUAAUGAAACUAGCAGCGUAAGACGCCGGGAAGCAGUUGCCAUAGAUUGUGAAAUGGUUGGAGGGGGGAGUGAUUGGUCACUAGACCUUUGUGCAAGGGUAUGCCUAGUUGACGAAGAUGAGAAGCUUAUUUUCCACACUUAUGUUCUACCUCAGAUUCCUGUCACUGAUUAUAGGUAUGAAAUUACUGGUAUAACAGAGGAAAAUCUACGAGAUGCCAUGCCUUUGAAGGAAGUCCGGGGGAGAAUUCUGCAGAUCCUUUACAAUGGAGAGUCAAUAAGUAGAGUAAGAUUGAAUGGUGGAAAAGCAAAGGUACUUGUGGGCCAUAACCUUGAGAAACACCUGGCUUGCUUGAAGAUGGAUUAUCCUGAUCAUCUUCUGAGAGAUACUGCAACAUACCAGCCCCUGAUGAAGACCAACUUUUCCAGCCACUCUCUCAAGUAUCUAACCAAGACUUAUCUAGGAUAUGAUAUCCAAGUUGGUUUCCAUGAUCCUUUCCAAGAUUUGGUGUCUGUCAUGCGGUUGUAUAAGAGAAUCCGCUCACGGGACCACCCAAUGGAAGGGACUAUUUGGGUAUCAAAUUCACCUCUAAGCUAUAGCAGUAGCUCUGAUCCAUGGAAACUCAUGGCACACGAAAGUAUGACACCAGAUGAGCUCUUAGCAAUAUCCAAAUCAAACUAUCGCUGUUGGUGUCUGGAUUCACUGGAAGCAAUGCAGAUGCAAUAAUGAAAUGAGUGUGCUUGAGGAGUUGUACCUGUUAACUCGCUUAAUGAGAGAUCCUGCAACAUACCGGCCCCUGAUGAAGACCAACUUUUAUUUAUAUAACUGUGGCGUCCGGGCUAGCUUGUGCGCACCUCGACUAAUUCCACGAGAUACCUGCCACCUCCCACCAGCAACAGAUAUGACAUCCAAGUUGGUUUCCAUGAUCUUUACCAAGAUUCCGUGUCUGUUAUGCGGUUGUAUAAGAAGAUCCGCUCACAAGAUCAUCCAAUGGAAGUGACUAUUAGGGUAUCAAAUUCACCUCUAAACUUUAGCAGUAGCUCUGAUCCAUGGAAAUCCAUGGCACACGCGACAAUGACUCCAGAUGAGCUCUUAGCAAUAUCGAGAUCAAACUAUAGGUGUUGGUGUCCUGAUUCCGGGGAAUCCAGUUAUUGAAUAUACAUUUGAUCUGAGAAAGCUUCCAGCUCCAAGUGGGCGGACAAUAAAGCGAGAAUGUGUCAUCUUUUUUGUGUGAUCUGCAUGAAUUCGCAUUUAAUUAGGCAUGUGAGGCUGUUGCUGAAGGUUUUUGUAGUUACUGAAGUGUAAAUGAGUAGAACUGCUUGUUUUUCCUUGGUAAAAGUUAUAGUAUAUCUGCCCUAAUUUCCAUCCUUGGAGGACUUCUUUGAUGCUUUGGAAAAAGGAGGGAGAAUUACUGGAUUUUGUUAUUGCAAUUUGCAUUCUCUAUAAUGUGUAGCACGGAAAUACAUAUACAGCGUUAAAUGAUCUUCCAUAUUGGCAGUCGGAUAUUUUAACCGUAUUAAA